CGAUCCCCCUCGCUGCUUUUCUGGGAACAUCCCCCUCCCUCGAAGCUCUCCCAACCCUGUGCCCCUUUCCCAGAGGGCUGCCACAGAGGUUCAGACUUGAGGGGAGGGCAAGGCCAACUCCCAGCCCCCCACCAGGCCCCCAGCUCAGCCAAGCUUUUCUCCUCAUUAAUCUCAAAGUCAAGGACUUGAAUUAAACUGGGUCAGGGGACAGCACCUCCGCCCCCCCCCCCCCACGAACCGCAGCUGGGCCUCUUUCCCUAGGGACCCCAGAGUCUGUGAGGGUCCACCACCAGCCUCACCCUCCUGGGACCCAGGCCUGUUGUCUUCCUUAGCCUGGAACCUAACCACAUUUCUAUCCCAACCCUCUCUGGCACCCUAACAACCCCUUCCCUCCUGGGACAGGCUGAAGGCACCUUGAAUCCUCAUCUUACCUCAGCUGGUUUCCCCAGUCCUGAUCUCUGUUCCCUAUUUGAGGAUAUCAAUCCUUCCCAGACCUCGGCUGCCUCCCCUGCCUUCCCUCUCUCAGUCCUUUCUCUACCCCCACCCCCCCGCCAAAAAAAAAUUUUUUUUUAAUUUAAUCUGGGACAUAUUUACUAGUCGGGAUUCUGUGGGGGCGGGGUCCUUCUCGCCUGGGACCUCAAGAGCGGACCUUUCCUUAGAUGACCCUAAAGACUGGCUUUCCAGGCAGGUCUCAGAAACCCAAAUGCUGGGCCCCCAUCUCCUCCCAUUCAGGAUUCUUGGAAGUCUAGGAUCCCAGCUCUCCUUAUCUGGGAAGAGAGGGGUCUGCACCCCCAGCGCACGUCCUAGGGGAACCUCAAGGGGACCUGGCCCAGGUUUGCCAUCCCACCUGCUGGUACUCUUGGUCGCGGGGAGCAAAGCCGCUGGGCACCGGGCGGAGCUGGAAGUCGGCGCGGGGCAGCUGGUGGAGGAGAUGCACCCAGGCAGAGGGAGAUGACUGGAGAAAAGUGAGGUCACAAAGGUGGGCUCUAACACGACUGGAGUCCUUGUCAAAAGAGAUUAAGGACCAGAGAGAUGGCUCAUCAAGGAAAGGGGAGCAUGAAUACAGUUCCUCACUACCACCAAAUAUGCAGUUGAGUUUCCUGAAUUUGGGGAAACUGUAGGGGUCAGAAUAUCAAGAUGUUCUGGAUGUGAUGGAUAAGCCUCACCCGGGGAAAACGACCUUUGUGAUUAUGGUGUCUCUUCUUCUAGGCUCAUUGAAGAAUGCAAUGAAAUCAUUUUUAAAGAAGUGUGCUAGGCCUGAUGACACAUGCCUUUAAUCUCAGUCCUUGGGAGGCAGAGGCAAAUGGAUGUCGAACCUGUUGACUGGCUGAAUGGGCUUGGUCAGCCAUAAACAGGACAUCUCUAUCACACUCAUUCUCCAAGGCCAAAGGGAUCAUCAUCAUGCAGAAGGAGAGAGGCUGAUUCUGAGAGCCAGAGGCCAGGAUUGGGCUGUGCCCCACCUGUAGCUUUAACUACAAAUGAUUCUACAUUGCCUGUUCCAGGAAUGGAAAUCAUGUCUGUUUCACAAAGUUGUUUAAAACCGUCUUGCAAGCCUACCUCUGUUUCAAUAAGGUAAUGGCAGAAUUGACUCAACUCUCAGAGCAGUGACUUUCCUAACUCCUGGCUAUGGUCGAGUUGCUUCAGUGUCGCCAGCUUUCCUGUUGCUUUCUCCUGGGCCAGCUCACCACUUCUCAAACUACACACUUUUGCAACAGCAGCAAGAUCUUCCUGACAUCUUCCUCAAGCCCAAGUUUUGGUUGUAGUUUAUCUUAUUUUACUUUAGUUUUGCCUUGGACCACGGAAUGGAUAUCUUUUCCAUCAGUGAACAGGCUGCAUCUUCCACUGUGGCUCACUGCAUGCUUGAAGGACAGCCAUUAGUCUGUAACACUGUGCAGUGUUGUCCUUCAGGUAGCUGCCACAAAGAUAACUCUAUUCUCUUCUCAGGCUAAGCUAUGGACUCUCCCCUUCUGAGCAGGCGGGGGCACCCUGGGUACCCCCCUUCUGACAUUUCAAGUCUUUGUGAGGCUAGGCACUUCCUCUCCCACUGAGGCCAAACAAGACAGCCCAAGCCGUGCCCUCAUAACCGAUUCCCACCAGUGGAACGUGAGCAGGAGUGACUUGUGCCAUUUCAGUGUUCUAAGAGAGAAAUGCUGGACGGGUGCAGGGGGAGAGGAAUCCGUAUCCACUGCAGUGAGAAUAGCAAUUUGUGAAAUCACCAUGGAAAUCAAUAUGGAGGUACCCCCACAGUCCCCCCCAAAAAAACCCUAAACAUAAAAUGGCUAUUUGAUCCAGCUAUACCACUCCUGGCUAUAUGGCCAAAGGAAUCAAAGUCACCAUGCUACAGAAAUUCCUGCACAUGUAUGUUUACUAUAGCACUAUUUACAACAGCCACGUUGUGGAAAAAAGCUAGGUGUCCACCAGUGGAUGAAUGGAUAAAGAAAAUAUGGCACAUAAACAAAGUGGAAUUUUUACCUAGCCAUAAAGAGGAAUAAAUUUGUGGCAUUGUCAGGAAAAUGAAUGGAACUGGGGAUCAUUGUAUUCAGGGAAAUAAGAUAGACCCAGAAAAACAAAUAUAAAAUAAAAUAUAUGUAAAUAGGUUCAAGGCCUAGUGAAGUGAAGCCAGAGGAGACCUGGUUACCUCAGUUAUCCCAGGAAGAACUCCACAUGCCAGCCUGGAUCUUCCACAUGGUAGUCUCACCAUGGCAGAAUAAAAAAAAAAACUAUCCUUUUUUU
rnacentral:lncRNA from 1 species